GUGGACACAAGGCAUGCACAUGGUACAAACACAUAUGCAAGCAGGCAAAAUACUCAGACACGUAAAAAUAAAACGUGACCACUGUAAACUCAAUUCCACUUAUCACUUGCUUGCCCUGUGUCCCGCAAUUACUUUAGCAUUGGUAGGUAACAUGUAUGAACUAUUGUACGCCACUUAUAAACACAUAGACACAGGCCAGGCUUUCUUUAACACAGUCACACAGGCCUUCUUUCAGCAGUUAAUACAGCACAAUCAUAAACAUUUUAUCUCAAAUAAAAGCUACAAAGAAUCUUAUAAGAAAGGCUGACUUUCAGCAAAAAAAAAAAAAAAAAAAAAAAAAAACAGUAAAAUGAACAACAACAACAAAAAAAAAGUAAAAACAAACAAAAACAGUGACCAGCUGGGCCAGCCUUGGGUAUUCUAAAAGUCAGGCUUGUUCUGCUGCAAACCUGCCACUGUCCAUCUCGUUCCUCCUUUUGGUUUGCAAGAAAGUAAUACAUGCACUCUGCAUGCCAAGGAGCCAGUUCUCCAUUGCCCUUUUAGGAUUAAAAAUAAUAAAAGAAAAAAACCCCAAACAACUUUUCGGGCAUAAGAUGCCCCCCCCCCUUAUAAGCCAGAACCUCUUUCAGGGCAGGUAAACACCCUGCCAGCAAGCUACAGCCUCAGCCCCAAACGUCUCUUUUUUCUACUCAGUCUGCUUUCUCCCGUUUUAGCCAAUUCAAUUAGCAUUCACUCACUAUCCACCAACUGACAGUUCUUUUAUGGGAUGAGUCCUGUAUUUUCCCAAUUUUGUGAGUAAGAGAAUCCUCAGAGUGGGAACACAGAGUGAGUAACGGCGCCAGCUAUUAAACCAGCUGCGUGAUCGUGCCCCAUCUCCUUCCCCCUUAGGGCUGGAGUUGAAGGAGACCUCCAGUAAGGCCUGUCACUCACCUGACAGGGUGUUGGUAUUGCAAAAGCUUCCCGGAAGCUUCUGCCAUUCCUGGGCCACUGGGCAACUAGGAAGGAAAGGAGUAAUCGCAGUCACCAUGCAUCUCAUUGUCGAAAUUGGGAAGGUGUGAGACCCAGCGCCUCUGGUUCAGGAGUUCGAACCCACGGUCUCCAGAAGCCCUCGGACCUGCAGGAUGGCAAGCGCAAGUCGCGCACAAAGAACGUGAGCCCAGCCACCGGACUCAACUCGGACUUAGUAAGGGCACCGGGCCCGGGCAAAGGCAAGAGCGGCGGGUAAAAGGCGAGGGCUGAAGUAGAGGGCGAACAGGGACGAGCCGGGGCCAGGCGGUCCUCGGGCUCAGUGGGCGGCGGGCACGGGGCGAGGGUGGAGAAUGCGCGGGGAUGGAUCCCGGCUGAUAGGUACCCGGGCUGCGCGGACGGCGGGCAGCGGCUGCGCGAGGGCGGACGUGCUGGGUUGUGCGCGCUCUCGGCGCUCUCGGUGGUAUCCAUGGCAGGACGACCGCGUCGGUGUCGCAGCCCGGCUUUAUCUAGCCCUUGCAGACCUUCGCACCCCGGUCGCCCUCGCUGCUCUGCAUAAACAAAACGGCAGCGCGUGAAGGCGCCGCGGGCCGCGCGCGGGUGUGAACGCGUGCAACAUCCCAAAUGGCCCGGGAACCGGCUGCUGGAGCGAGU
rnacentral:lncRNA from 1 species